UACGUAGGGUGCAAGCGUUGUCCGGAAUUAUUGGGCGUAAAGAGCUCGUAGGCGGCUUGGCAAGUCGGGUGUGAAAACUCCAGGCUCAACCUGGAGACGCCACCCGAUACUGCCAUGGCUAGAGUCCGGUAGGGGACCACGGAAUUCCUGGUGUAGCGGUGGAAUGCGCAGAUAUCAGGAGGAACACCGGUGGCGAAGGCGGGUCUCUGGGCAGUAACUGACGCUGAGGAGCGAAAGCGUGGGGAGCGAACAGG
rnacentral:rRNA from 1 species